CUUCCCAGGCAGAAUGGUAUUAGAGGUUUCCAUUUCCUGCAACCUUGCCCAUGGGAGAGAGCCUGUUUCCAAUUACUGUACCUACUCGUAAUUAAAUGAGAACAAAUUGAAAAAAUGGCUUCCAUGGGAGCCAGUAGCACCGCAUUGGCUUUGAAGCUUAUAACCUCAUUAUUAAUAAUAAACAUUUUGGUGAUGAACUUUUGACCACACGCUCAUCCAACAUACUUUCCUCAUAAGCGCCCUUCCCUGGACAGGCUGUGUGCGGCAGAUUGGGACUGCCCAUGAUUGCAAGGAUGCUCCGGAUUGGAUGUCGUCACGUCUUUCUAAGUAGUUCUUGACCUUGGAUUUUCAUUAGAGUUAUCUGAGGAGACUUUCAAAAUUGCGAUGCCCAGAUCACACGUUGGAACAAUUACAACGAUCUCUGGGAGCGGGAUGAGGCGUCAGUACUUUGUAAAAAUUGCCCAGGUGAUCCCAAUGUGCGGGCGUGGUGGAGACUCGCUGUGUGAGAACAGCGCGUCUCAAACUUUCCUGCGUAUGUGAAUCACUGGGGAUUUUGCUAAAACGCAGAUUCUGAUUCAGUAGGGCUGCAGUGGAACCACGGAAUCUGCGUGUCUGACAGGCUCCCGGAGGAUGCUGCUGCGGGUUCCAGGACCACAGUUUGUGGAGCAAGACUUUGAGGGCUCAGCCGUCUGGCUCUGCUCUCAGAAGCUACAAGUCCAUGAGAAACUCGGGCUGCGGACAUCCAUCUGGGGACUUCGCUGCCCACCCUCAUCAGUAGAAUGAGACUGGAAAGUGUGGGUACCCUCGAGAGGCUAAUAAUCUGGACCCUUUUCAAAUGGAUAGUCUUUAAAUAUUUGUUCAACAGUUUUAGUGGGGGUGGCACUGGUACUGGCAAGGAUUUAAAAAAAUUGUGACUUGAAUGUUCUGUCUGCCUCAAGGAGUGUGGGCAUUUGCCACUUUUAGAGCUAGACAGCAUCUGAAGCUCCUUCUUGUGCUUUGGGAACCACCCACUGUGCAUCUCACUAGGUGGCCCUAUUGCCAUUCAUGGAAGCUGACGUGGCCAGAUGAUCUCCUGCCCCAGGAAGGUUAGAAAAAUAUGGCCAAUGAUAUUUCCCUGGUUGUUCGUCGCUGACGGCCUUGUCAGCUGGCAUCACCUCAGGCCUGCGGACUAUGCAGGAGCCACUGCUGCUUGGAGACGACAGAGGAAGGGGUCAGUGGCUCACCGUUGACUGGCUGGGAGCUGGGACCCUAAAAUCUCUCCCCUCGCCACCUCCUCUUCCGUCACCGAAGAAUCAACAUUAGUUUCAUCUUUGCAGCUACCAGGCCUCUCACCUUUCCACUUCCUUCCAUGCGGCUUUUCCUCCCCCACUUCCUUUUUAUAUGAUUUUGACUAAGAUGGAAGAAAAUAAGAAAGAAUAUAACAGUGACCAACUCUGGAAUUUUACCUAGCAUGGUUUCUUUCUUUCUUUCUUUUUUUUUUUUUCUCUUAAUGAUGUCAGUUUCCUCCUCUACAAAAAGAAGUUUGGAUGGAGUGAUCUCACUGGUCCCUUCAGGCUUUUGAGGCCCUUCCUCUGACUCACCAGCCCCAGCCUCCUGUGCACAUCCUGGAACCUGGUGGGGAGAUGUGUCCGUACCUAAAGCAACUUCCAGUGUUAAUCCUCCACAGUCUCCUGAAUGAGUCAGCGAAACAGCAAGAGAGGAGGACAUGAGUCUGUGGAGGCCCCACGAAGGCCACUUUCCAAAGCAUGACACGUGGAAGGAAUCCCAUUAAACCAUGGUCUUCUUCAGAAUCAGCAGGGAGCCCCAGAGAGUCUCGCUUAGUAAGUCUGGGGUUCAGCUCCAAAAUGUGCAUUUCUAACCCGUAGCCCAAACUUAUUCUGAUGCAGGUAGCCCAAGAACCAAACUUCAAGAGACACAGGUAUAGACCAGAGUUACGUAACCUGGGCACCAUCGGCAUUUGGGCUGGAUGAUUCUUAGUUGUGGGGGGCUGCCCUCUGCAUUGUAGGAUGUUCAACAGCAUCCCUGGCCUCUGCCCACUAGAUGCCAGGAGCAGCCCACACUCCCCAAUUGAUACAAUCAAAAAUGUCUCCAGACCCCGUCAUUUGUCCCCUGGGGAGUAAAAUUGCCUCUGACUGAGAACUGCUGCCACAGAUAGAGCUUCUUCUUGGGACCUGCAAUCACACAUUUUGAUCAACACAAACAGGUUGCUAGAAGAGAAGGGUUCAUGUCGUCAGCUGAGGCAAAGAUACCUCCAAUGGAAGCCAACCCAUGUGAUGGGCAUGUCUUUGGUCCUGGCAACAGCCUGUGGAAGAGAGGCAGGGCCCUUGGAGAAUCCCUCUGGCAGGACUGAAUACAGCACUGCCUAACUCCCACACUCGGGGGACAGGGUGGUCCACCAGCUUCCCCAGACUUCCGAGAGACCAUUUGGACAUCAUGAGCUCUCGCAUCCACCAGGCUCCUCGGUCACUUUGGGAAGUCAGCUCCCCAGUAGCAAAUGUCUGUCUAGCACUUGCUGUGUGCCAAGCACUGGGCUGAGUGCUUUGCAUACAUUACCAUUGCUGAUCUUCCCAGCAGCCUUAUGAUGCAGCUUCUAAUAUCAUCCCUAUUAAACAAAUAAGAAAAGUGUGUCAAAUAGCGCGUCCAAGUGGUCAGCCCUGGAUUUAAGCUCAGACAUCCUGACUCCAGAGUCUGCGUUGUAACCCACUGUGCUGUACACAUGUGUGCCUGUCUCUCCCCAUUUCCUGAAAAAUACCCAUCUUGUCUAAACACCAGGGAAACAGGAUUUUCGGUGAAAACAUAUUAUAAUAAAAAUUAAGGAUGCUUUUUGAACUAAGCCUUCCUGACUGGAGACCAGGAUACAUCAACCUGGGUAGCAUUCUGCUCCCUGGGGAGCAGCAUAGGCAUGAAUCCUACCCAGGGCAUGUAACCAGGCACCUCCUUUUGUCCAUGUUCCUGACUGUUUGAAAGGUUUUGGAAUGUCAGCGAGUGGAGAGGAGCAGCGGGGGAGGAGGAGGUGACGUGCAAGAGGACAUUGAGAGGGGUUCAGGACAUCUGCAUGCAUCUACCUUCCCCACUGGGAGGUUUUAGGCAAAGUUCUCUGUGAAUUUUUACAAACACCACCAGCAAACCCCUGCGGAAUAGUAGGAACUUUGGGUUGGAUGGCACUGUGAGGAUUCCCACCGUGCCUGGCUUUAUUCUCUAAAGACGAGCAGGGGAUGAGCAAAGCCAUCAUUUAGAAUGGUGAUUGCAUCUGCGUAUGAGCAUAUUGCUACAGUAGUUCAAAACCCUUAAUUUAUAUGUCGACUGCAAAUAGGAAAAAGCAAGGGGAAGUGGAAGAGGAGAUAAGCGUGACUUCAGAGCGCCAGUGAGCUGGAAUGCCUUGCAAGGUGCUGCCAAACUGUGAUCAGUGUCAAGUUUACUGUCUUGUAGCUGAAGAUCACUUGAGUAGACAGUGUUAGAAAAGCAGGACGGUGGGUGGAGCAGGUCCUGUGCUGUGGGAGGGACAGGGUACAAAUUGGUAUAGAGAGAGGCAGGCGGCAUCAUUAAGGGCAAGCCAGUGGCGUGGAGAGUUGGUGUGUUUAGUGACAGGAAAGGAUUUGCCUUGUCUGUACAUAAAAAAGAGUGAGGUCAAGGCACAAACAGGUGUGUUCAAAUAGCAGCCCCACUGUUGAAGGGGUCCAUGGUGAUUUUUGAAGAAAAAAAAAAUUCUAAGUUGUUUGUCCAGUGGGACUUUUCUUGCAAGUGACAGAGACUCAAUUUAAACUGAUUUAAGCAAAACACAAAACAAAGCAGAAAACAAACAAAUGCAUAUAUGUGUGGAGAGGGAGGGUCAUUAAUUAACCCAAUGGAAAAUUCCAGAAGCUCAAAUGAUGUCAAUAGUGCUUUGUUUUUCUUUGUCUUUUGAUAUCACCUUCUUCUGUUGGGCACUCUCAUUGACAGAUUUUCUCUGCAUGACAGCCCCCAAGCGUGUCUAGAUUCAAGUCCAGUAGAAAGAGAAGUCUUGUCUUUGUCACUGGUCCAAGCUAAAGUUCCCUAUUUUAGUCUCAUUGGCCAGUCCUGGGUUCCAUGCUUUCCUUGAAUGAGGGGUUUAGGUCAGGCCCACCCAAACCACAUGGUCUGAGAAUAAGGGAGGGGCCUCACUCUGAGGGGGAGACGCCUCAUGGGUUCAUGAUGGAUUCAGAUGGGCUACUUGAUCUUUCCCACUCCAGGUUGAACAGUGAUCUACAGUCCUAAGCUUGCUGAUCCUGUGGUCACACAAAGUAUUCCUACCGUUAAAUUUCCUUCCUGUUCUGUAAUAAGCUUGGGCUGGCAAUUUGAUUUUAUUGACGGUCACAUCCCAAGUGAUGAUUUUUGAUUUACAAAAAAGUAAACUCCAGGAUUGGAUUUACUGAUAAAUAUCAUAUAAAGUCAUAGAGAUGAACACGAUACAGCACUUUUCUUUUCUUUUUUAAUGUGAAAACCUCUUAAAGGGGGGGCCAGAUCUUUGUGUCUCUCCCAAGUCUCCCAUCACCGUACCCAGUGGCUCCCGCAAUCUCUUGUAGCACAAGCCAACUCACACAAUCCUCAGCCACAGGAGCUCUGCCACCCUGCAGUGAGGCCACCGGACAGAGGAGGGGAGGGGAGGUGGGCACACACAAAAGUAAUUUAUUUAAGAGUGGUCACAACCACAGCUAUGGUGACAGCCGGUUUGCAGUCCUGGAAGCCUCUGAAAGGCUCAGUACAUCCUUCCCUCUUUGGGUUUUACAGUCUUGGACUAUCUUCUUAUGAUCCAAUCUUGGGUCCAAAGCCCCUUUUGGACCUUGUUUUGGCAAGUCAGCGAGACCACAUGCUGCUGUGCCCCAACUUCCCAUUUAUCUAAUUGGGGUCUGACUUUUCCCUCAUCAGAUGAUUCACACAGGGGUGUG
rnacentral:lncRNA from 1 species